rnacentral:rRNA from 1 species
ACCUACGGGGGGCAGCAGUGGGGAAUAUUGGCCAAUGGGGGGAACCCUGAUCCAGCGACGCCGCAUGAGUGAAGAAGUAUUUCGGUAUGUAAAGCUCUAUCAGCAGGGAAGAAAGAAAUGACGGUACCUGACUAAGAAGCCCCGGCUAACUACGUGCCAGCAGCCGCGGUAAUACGUAGGGGGCAAGCGUUAUCCGGAUUUACUGGGUGUAAAGGGAGCGUAGACGGCGAUGCAAGUCUGAUGUGAAAGGCGGGGGCCCAACC